rnacentral:piRNA from 1 species
UCCAGGAGUAGUCCUUGAUGCCCUUGUUGC